GACGAGGGGUCCUAGCGUUGUUCGGAAUCAUUGGGCGUAAAGCGUGUGUAGGUGGCUAUUCAAGUCAGUUGUGAAAGCCCCGGGCUUAACCCGGGAAGUGCUUCUGAUACUGUUUAGCUUGAGUACUGGAGAGGAUAGUAGAAUUCCAGGUGUAGUGGUGAAAUACGUAGAUAUCUGGAGGAAUACCGGUGGCGAAGGCGGCUAUCUGGCCAUGUACUGACGCUGAGACACGAAAGCAUGGGGAGCAAACAGG
rnacentral:rRNA from 1 species